UGGCGACCGGCGCACGGGUGAGUAACGCGUAUGCAACUUACCUAUCAGAGGGGGAUAGCCCGGCGAAAGUCGGAUUAAUACCCCAUGAAACAGGGGUCCCGCAUGGGAAUAUUUGUUAAAGAUUCAUCGCUGAUAGAUAGGCAUGCGUUCCAUUAGGCAGUUGGCGGGGUAACGGCCCACCAAACCGACGAUGGAUAGGGGUUCUGAGAGGAAGGUCCCCCACAUUGGUACUGAGACACGGACCAA
rnacentral:rRNA from 1 species